rnacentral:lncRNA from 1 species
AAUAGGAUUAUUUAAUUAGUAUUGAUCAAGAAUUAAUCUAGGAUUAAUUAAGUGAUCAAAAGAAGACUAAUUAAAUAUAUGGGUUGAUUGUGUAAAUCAUCCAUACUUGUAUAGUGGGCUAAUGCUCCAUGGAUUAUCAAGUUGGGCUAAAACCUAUAGGAUGCUCCAUGGUGUAUUUGAACCCAUGGAUCCAAGGAAAUGGAAAGUCAUGACAAGUAGGGUUUACCCUAAUUUUAACACUAUAUAAAGAUCAUACUCUUGGAAAAAUCGACCACUAUGUAAGAUAGAGAAGGGCUAGCCAAUUUCAAGUGUUCUACAUUUCUCUCAAGGUUAUUCCAAAAGCAUAUGAUGUUGUGUGAACCAUUUGAGGUGUCACACUUGGGGCACUAGGCACUCAAGCUUCAUGAAGAUAUUCUACAUCAAAGAGGUAUGUAUUCUAUCUUGUUAUAUUUAUUGUUUUGUAUGCUAGAUUAGGAUAAUACCUUGGAAGUUCAUAUUUGCAUGUAUAAUAGAGAAAACAUAGAUCCAAGGUAUUUAGGGUUGCAUGUACACUUAGGAGUGUUAGAAUGCUCAAAACCCAACAGUGGUAUCAGAGCCUAGGCUUGUUUUCUUGUUAUACUUGCAAAAGUGGCUGGAAAAUCGAGUUUUGAUGCUGUCUGCCCAGCAGACUCGCCGAGUCCAAGGCAAAAUGCAUCCAACUCGCCGAGUUGGUUCGUGCACUCGACGAGUUGGACCCCCAGACAGCAUAAAUUCGACUUUUUUGGCUGGAAUUGGACUAGGAACAUUACCCUAAGAUGUUUUUGGACUUAUAAACUUGUUUUUGAUGUGGUAAUGUUCAUGCUAAUCCAAUUUCAAAGAUAAUUGUCAAUAGAUUCAUGUUUUGUAUUAGUUUAAGGUUUAGACUAAUUACAUGAAAAAGUUUGAUUUGAAUUAUCUUGUUCUUAUGAGUUGCUUAGAUUAAUAGAAAAGUUGAGUGAAAUAGUUGUUUUCAAUCCAAAUUAAUCUAAGAGUUGAUUCUAAAAUGUGUUUUUGUAACUUGUCCUCAAGUUAUAUGAAAAGUCACAUUUAAGUUUCAUAAAACUCAUAAAAGUUGGCAAAGGUUACAAAAUGAAGAGUCUAGUUCUAAUUAAAUGGUUUUAUGACUCCAUAACUUGUCCUCAAGUUAUGGAGGACCAAGAGUCUCUUCAUUAAAUAAUAAAUAAAAAAAAAAAGUGUAACCUUAAUUAAUUCCAUAAGUUAUAAAAUAAAGAAAAGUUAAUUCUUUUAUUAGUUUAAAGUCUUCCAUAACUUGUCCUCAAGUUAUGGAACUUGAAGAGUUUUUGGAUUAAAACUACUUUAAACACAUAAGUUAUGGAAUUAAUUAGUUUUGAAUAGUUUCAAAACUUGCCCUCAAGUUUUGGAAUUUGAAAAGUUUUCACUUAUGAAUACUUUAAUUCCAAGUUAGCCCUUAGAAUUUUAAAAGUUAAAAUUCAACCCUUAUACUUUAUAAUAUUAUAAGUUAAUAAUAUAUAUAUAUGUAUAAGAGUAAAGUCAGUCUUACCGCUAGUACGCCUCAUUCACGAAGCCGGUCUAUAAGGUGGGUAUAAGGUUGUUGCCUAUAAAAUGGCAACUUAAUGGGUGUCCACUCUCACCCACCGCUUGCUUGACUGGUGGAGGGUCGUUAGCCGAACGGGUUUGACAGGACUAGAAUUCUCCCUUCAUUAAAAGUAUUAAUGAUAAUACUAAGUAACUAAACUCUUAAUAAUACCCAAUCUUAGUUACUUAGGAAAAAUGUGAAUAAGGUGCUAAUCCAUGAAAUUACACUUUACACUUUGUUUAAGUCGGUAGUGGAGCGUGUGUGGUUAACCGGCACACUAACUUGGACUUAACAAGGUAGGUAAAGGGUGACUUAAUAUUUAUCAUAGUAUCGAUGGAGCGUGUGUGGUUAACCGGCACAUCGAUUGAGGGGUAAUUUAUUAAGGGUACCAAGUGAUUUGCAUGGUUACUUCACACCUUGUUUUGUGAUCCUCGGCAUCCCAGUCACAAAACCUGAAGGGCACACUCGAGAUUGAAACAUGCCUUUGAAAAGUUCAAUGAAUCUCAAAGAUCUAGGAGUUUCAAAACCAAUUAAAACCUAAUAAUACAUUUCGUUUAUCUUGGUGGAAAUUGGUGAAUCGUCAUUCACCUACCUUCAAAUAUUUUAUAGCUUGGAUUACGGCAUACCUCUUCUAAGUUAUAAAAUAGUUUGUUGGGUCCUAGCCUUAAUAUUUCAUAUUGGGUGUCAUAUUAAGGACUUUAAAUCAACUAUCUUGAAUAUCUCCCAAAAGAUGUCUGGUUUAGACACCUAUGAUCUUCCCAAAUCUCUUGAAACAAGGUUUCCUAAUGAAGAUGAUGUCCCAUGGAUAUCAUACUUCUUUCUCCUCCUCCAAUUAUUCUCCCUAACCCACAAGUUCUUGAAAAGUUUAAGGUCACUCAAGCCCUAUUGGCAAGGCAAGGUCUAGGUGUGAUCACAUCUUGGAGAUGUAGUCACAUAUUGACAAGCCGGGAGAGUUGGGUGUCAAAGUCUUGAGAAAGUUGGUGGUUCAAUCACUUUCUAAGUCACAUAGUGAGUUCCUUUGGGACACCUAUGAAACAGACUAUGACAAGACCCUUAAUGAUCUUAUCUAUUUGCUAAGAUCAACUUCCUAAAACUUUAUGGACAUUGACAAUGAUGACAUUGGAUAUCCAGUAAAGCAUUCUCUUCCCAAUGGAAAGGGAUCGGCCAUAGUCAACUCGGUUGACCAAAUGGUAAAGAGAAAAGCUAAGUCUGUGAUAGUCCCGUGUACCAUUAUCAAAGGGUCCAUAUGUUUAUAUUGCCAAAGGAAGGGGCAUUGGUUGCGAAGCUGCCAAAUUUACCUAAGGAUGUUAAAGUCAAUAAGUUUGACUCUACUUCAGGUAAAGUCCACUAUCUAACUCUGUUAAGUUUCUAUUCUGAGAUUCUUGAUACAUGAUGUGACUGGGUCACAUGGUGAUGUUUUAAGAAUCAAAGAAAAGUGAAGAAACUUAAAGAAAGAAUAUGCUGAAUCUGAUGGCGUAGAUGGAUUUCUAUCGCAUAGUUUGAAGAUCGGAUUCUUGAGCUACUUCUUAGGAGUUAUGAGAUAUUGCUUAGGAAUAGAUAACAACAAGUUUUCAUAUGGAUUGUAAGGAUAAGUUUUUCCGCAAAGUUUUAAAAUAAAAGAAAAUUUUUUUGAUUUUAUUUAUUUUAAAAUAUCCUUACAAUGGCUUUUGAGGAAAAAUUGUUGCUUAUAUGAUUCCAUUAAGAGCAAGAGUGGAAAUAUGAAAUUGAUUCUUUCAUUUGUGGUAAUGUCUAGAUUUACCAAAUAAGGAAAGAUUCUCAUCACCCAAGUUUCAAUUGGACCGGAACUUGGAAUCAUGCAAGUUGUAUAGCAUGAUGAAUGAGAACUUUCAAGUUUUGGAAAAUUAAGACUAAUUACUUGUUCACAUGGAUGUGUGAGUCAAGUAAAGGACUUAGGGAUCGAGUACACAUUCUUGUGCACUGAUUAAGUCCACCACUAAAGAUCGAUAAGAAGAAUCAAAUAAGGCAGAAGGAUAAAAGUUUCUCAAAUCUGAAAAGAUGGGAGAGUACUUUAGUAUCAGUUUUGUGAUCAUCUUAAUGAUUAAGAAACCAUAUCAAAAUUAGUUCUCUAAGGAAAUCUUAGUGCAUUCUUAUGACUAAGAAGAGGAACUUGAAUUGUUGAAAUGGUUAAAUCAAGAAGAUGAGUCAUACUUCGUUCCAAUACAAGUCUUAGAGUCAUACUCCAAGAUUGUCAUUUGAGUGACAUGUCUUAAAGAAGGUUUAAAACACUUGUCAAAUGUAAGAGUAAAAGUUUUCUACUCUUGUACAUUUGAAAUUGGUAAGUUGUGAUGUUUUGGAUAAAACAAAGACCAACUUAGGCCAAUUGGGUAAAGUGUUUUUCUUGAUUAGAAUCCGCACUAUCUCUUGGAUGUUUGACAAGGGAGUCUUAUAUGUCAAGAGGACAGUGGGAGUCUUAAAGGUCUUGAAAGUCUCAAGAAAUAAUCAAGAAUAAAACCUAAAGUUCUUCACUAGCACACGACUUGAGGUUUAUAACCUAUCGUGUUGACAUAUCUGUGCCCAUUCCAGUUAAAGUUGGCUUUGCAUAUGAGUUCUUAGAGUUCUCAGUUUGUUGCAUAACAACUUGGAAGCAAUGGCAGGCCCUUGAGCUGCCAGGUGGCAAGAAGUUAAGAUUGAGUUCAAUCCAUAUGGUUUUGGAUUUGUCAUUAUCUUUGUCUUGUGAUUAUGGUUUGACAAAUUCAUAUGGGUAGGAACUCAUACACCAUAUAAAUCUAAGUGUCAUAAGGUUUCUCUCCGAUUCAUGAAAAUGAUGGUGAGGAAACGCUUUCACUAAGUAGAUUUUACGAAGAUAUCAAUUGUGUUAUUUGCAUUUUCAAAAGUCGUUAGUGGAGCGCGUGUGGUUAACCGGCACACUAACAUGGACUUGUGAGAAAUGGCAAAUGCCUAAGCAAUUGAGACCAUGAUUACGGUAUCCCUUUUCAUGGUUCUUGAAAUUGCUUAGACACACAGGUGAGCUAUCUACGGAAAGGGUGUAUGAAUCUAAAUUUCAGACUGUCCAGCUGAUUUCUGAGUACAUGUCAAAGCUAGUGGGAGCAUAAGUGUUAUGCUAAUAAUCAUCAUGUUAGUGGGAGCAUGAUAAUUAUGAUAAGUAUUGCAAGUUAGCAAUGUUAAUUAUAGAAAACAAAAGUUUCAAUUGGGAAAAAGUUGUUUUGCUAUAAUUAAGGGAGAGGAAAUUAUGCUUCAUCUCAAAUCUAUAAGCUUAGAUCGUGAGGUUUUAAUCAUUUAGUCAAGGAUAUAUAUGAAUUUCAUGUUGGAAUGGCUCAACAUAAGGAAAUUCUGUAUAUGGGUCCAUUAUUUGCGUUCUAAAAUUCGAUUAUGAUUACGGCAUCCCUUUUCAUAAUCUGAAUUAUGAGAACUUGGCAAAUUGAAAUGGAAAUAUUAUAGCAAAAGACUGGUUUAGUCUUUAUGUAAGACAUCAUGAAUCGUGUCCCAUAUGCUUCGGAUAUAGGAUCGAUUACAUGUGCUAUAUUCAUCCGUUCUAAAAUUUUCCAAAUGCCUGGGGCAUUAAGAAGGGAAAAGGUUUAGAACUGGAUAUGACUAAAAGGAUUAAACAAUUGUCGAGGACAAUCUAAGGUUUACCAAAGAUUGGUUACUCAAGGACAAUUGGAAGUAUAGUGAUAAUUCUGGAAGGACCAUAUUGACAUAAUCUGUAAGGAGGCAACUCUUGUUCAGAAGUGAUAGUCAAAAUGGAAUCUGGAAAUGUUUCAAAGUUAGAAUUUUCAAUCUGUGUAAGAUUAAGGAAACUUAAUGCAAGAAGGAUAUUUCCAAGGAGUUGAUCUCCUUUGGAAUACUCUGUAAUGAUUGUUGCCAAGUCUUUGUGACUUUGUGCAUAAUCAUUACAAGAGGAUCAAUGCAUAUAAGUUUAGAAUCUAACAGAUUUCAGUAAAUGGCAUGAAUUUGGAAUUCUUGCAUUUGCAGUAAGGAUUUGGGAGUGUGAAAAGAGAAUCAUUGAAGUUAUGUUCAAUUGAUCUAGUUCACAAAGUAAAGAUCAUAGACAAACAUAGUAUGCAUACUUGGUGUGUGGCAUGACUAGUGUUUAAGAAAACAUAGUGUACAUGCUUGGAGCAUGGGACAACUAUUGUUUUAAAUUCAAGAAUAAAGUUGAUAGCUGAAACAGUAUACAAUGAAUAAUGUGUAAUCAUAUGGUGAUAAAUAAAAGGUGUUUUAUUUAUGUUCAAAGGGUUGAUACCAUAUUGGAUUCAAUUAUUAUUGUGUUUCAUUUUGCAUGUUUUGACUUCCCGAAUAAACUGGGUUAUUCUUCCGGAAUGACUAAGUUAUUCAAACCAUCCACAGUCGGUCAUAUGUUGGAAGUAGAUAUGAAUUAAGACUGUCAUGGGUUGGCUUGUAGAGGUCUAAGGUGUUGGACAAAGGGCUACAACACUCAUGAGUGCUCAUAAGUUCUGAGUAUUGGAUUCAACCCGCGCUCAUUGGAAUCACUUCAUGGAUUUUAUCACGAGUGAUCAUGAGACGAUAAUAUCUUAUAUUCUUCAAACCUAGAGAUAUGAGUUGUUACUAUGAGUUGAUAGUACAUUGAUUGCACGAAAACGCAUUUGGUAACUCGGUGCUAUAAAACGUGCCUUUGUGUAUGAUUCAACAAGUAGUAGAACAAGCCAUAUGAGUCGAAGUUUAUCCGUUCCUUUUACCUUCGGGAUAAAAGCGAUAUCUGUGGGCCCCUCGAUGAUUUGAUGAUGACAAAUGGAAGUGCUCGGCCGGGCCAGGACUGAUUUGAUUUGUUCAAUUAGUCAGUCGUCAUAAAUCGGAAAUCGGGAAACAACAAAUGGACAGAGAGAAUGAUUAUAAUCCAUGUCUCAGUCCAUAUGAUAUCUAGAAUGGAGGAAUAUAUGAUCCCUUAUCUAAUGGACAAGUCAUUGACAAAGGUCAGAGUUCAUCUACAAGGUCAGAGUUCGACAGAAGCUUUUGAGAGCUACGAUUGCCGGUUGGUUCCUGAAGUCAUACGCAAUAAUAGUUUUAGACUUAUCCAAGUGGGAGACUGUUGGAUUAAUGUCUAAGUCCAUAACUAUAUUUGGUAAGACUUGACCCGACCCGGCAUGGUCCAUUUGGGUUGCAUACCAUCAUGCACUAAAAUGAGAGAAAUAAGACACUUAUGGUUAUUAAUAUAUUAUAAGUUCUAGUAUAUUAAUAAUAAGAAUAAUAAGAUUAUUUAAUUAGUAUUGAUCAAGAAUUAAUCUAGGAUUAAUUAAGUGAUCAAAAGAAGACUAAUUAAAUAUAUGGGUUGAUUGUGUAAAUCAUCCAUACUUGUAUAGUGGGCUAAUGCUCCAUGGAUAAUCAAGUUGGGCUAAAACCCAUAGGAUGCUCCAUGGUGUAUUUGAACCCAUGGAUCCAAGGAAAUGGAAAGUCAUGACAAGU